CUACGGGCGGCUGCAGUGGGGAAUUUUGCGCAAUGGGGGAAACCCUGACGCAGCAAUACCGCGUGAGUGAAGAAGGCCUUUGGGUCGUAAAGCUCUUUUCUUGGGGAAGAUAGUGACGGUACCCAAGGAAUAAGCACCGGCUAACUCCGUGCCAGCAGCCGCGGUAAUACGGAGGGUGCAAGCGUUGUUCGGAUUUACUGGGCGUAAAGGGCACGUAGGCGGCACAGCAAGUUAAGGGUGAAAUCCCGGGGCUCAACUCCGGAACUGCUCUUAAAACUGCUGAGCUAGAGAUAGUCAGAGGCGGGUGGAAUUCCAGGUGUAGAGGUGAAAUUCGUAGAUAUCUGGAGGAACACCGGUGGCGAAGGCGGCCCGCUGGGGCUAUUCUGACGCUAAGGUGCGAAAGCGUGGGGAGCAAACGGGAUUAGAUACCCGCGUAAUC
rnacentral:rRNA from 1 species